GCCGGGGUGGCCGAGCGGAUAAGGCGCAGGCCUUGAGCGGCAGAACCAAGCCAGCCUGUGGCCCCUCGAGGGCCGCAUGGGUUCGAAUCCCAUCCCCGGCG
rnacentral:tRNA from 1 species